GUACGGAAGCCCUUUAGAGAUAGAGGCGUGCUCGAAAGAGAGCCGUUAACACAGGGUGCUGGCAUGGCUGUCGUCAGCUCGUGUCGUGAGAUGUUGGGUUAAGUCCCGCAACGAGCGCAACCCUUGUCAUUAGUUGCUACAUUCAGUUGGGCACUCUAAUGAGACUGCCGGUGACAAGCCGGAGGAAGGUGGGGAUGACGUCAAGUCCUCAUGGCCCUUAUAGGUGGGCUACACACGUCAUACAAUGGCCGGUACAAAGGGUUGCCAACCCGCGAGGGGGAGCUAAUCCCAUAAAGCCAGUCGUAGUCCGGAUCGUAGUCUGCAACUCGACUGCGUGAAGUCGGAAUCGCUAGUAAUCGUGGAUCAGCAUGUCACGGUGAAUACGUUCCCGGGCCUU
rnacentral:rRNA from 1 species